CAAGAGCGUAUAUUAAAGUUGUUGCAGUUAAAAAGCUCGUAGUUGGAUUUCUGGUACAAUGCGCCUGGCCCGCGGCAGUAAUGCCUGUGAGUGCCGGUGCGCGUUUGCCAUCCUUCUAGAAAACGUUUCUACCCUUUACUGGGCCGGACUCGCGAUCUAGAUCUUUUACUUUGAAAAAAUUAGAGUGUUCAAAGCAGGCUUUUGCUGUGAAUACAUUAGCAUGGAAUAAUAAUCUAGGACUUCGGUUUUAUUUUUGUUUGGUUUUCUUAGUAGCUGAGGUAAUGAUUAAUAGGGAUAGUUGGGGGUCGAUUCGUAUUUAACUUGUCAGAGGUGAAAUUACUUGGAUUUGUUAAAGUACGGACUACUGCGAAAG
rnacentral:rRNA from 1 species